CUUCCACUACCGAGCAUGAAGCAGGCUCGCGGCGCGAGACGGCGGAGGCCUGUUCUUCAACCAACUAAGACCAUCCACAGACCCCUUAAAAAGGGUUUAAAAGGCCUUUCAAACGGACAUAAAGUAUGUGAUCUCGAGCUCGAGUGAUCCGAGAUAAACAUUAGAAUUUGAAAAAAUAGUAAACACUUUUCUUUUACAAGAAACAUCAAUGGAAAGUGCUACGCGUCUGCCAGCUGGUCGCAAGCCGUCAGAUCGUGUGUCAUUGCGCGGCCGAGCGGAGUUUUUUAUUUUUAUAACAGAAGUAAUGUUAC
rnacentral:lncRNA from 1 species